rnacentral:lncRNA from 1 species
UAAUGACCAUUACAUGUAAAACAAACCCACUAAUAAAAAUCAUUAAUUACUCAUUCAUUGAUCUCCCCACACCAUCUAAUAUCUCUAUAUGAUGAAACUUUGGCUCACUUCUUGGUACCUGUUUCUGGCCAUACACUAGACACCAGAUACCCCAAUUGCUUUCUCUUCUAUUGCCCAUAUUAACCGAGAUGUGGACUACGGCUGAAGAGUCCGCUGUUUUCACACUAAUGGCCCUUCAACAUUCUUCAUCUGCCUCUUCCUACACGUCGGCGGAGGCUUAUAUUAUGGGUCAUUCGUACAUUUAGAAACAUGAAACACUGGCAUUAUCCUCCUACUCAUAACCACAGCAACAGCAUUUAUAGGCUAUGUGCUUCCAUGAGGCCAGAUACCAUUCUGAGGCACUACAGUAAUCACAAACCUACUAUCAGCCUUCCCAUAUAUUGGAACUGACCUUGUCCCAUGAAUCGAAGGUGGAUUUCCAGUUUACAAAGCCACUCUUACACAACUCUUCAACUUCCACUUCAUCUUACCUUUCACCAUAAUAGCCCUGACAAUUCUCCACCUUUUAUUCCUACACGAAACAGGGUCUAAUAACCCUUCAGGAAUUUCAUCACAUUCUGACAAAAUCACCUUCCACCCUUACUAAACAACCAAAGAUAUUCUAGGUUUAAUUUUUCUCCUCCUCAUGUUAAUAAUUCUAGUACUGUUUCUGCCUGACCUCCUGAGCGACCCAGAUAAUUACCCCUUAGUCAACCCCCAAAUACCCUGCCCCACAUAAAACCACAGUGAUACUUUUUAUUUGUAUACACAAUCUUACGAUCCAUCCCCAAUAAACCAGGAGUCAAUAUCUGUUCUGAACCUUAGUCACCGACGUAUUCACACUCACAUGAAUCAGAGGACAGCCAGUUGAACAUCCUUUCAUUACCAUCGGACAGAUAGCAUCUGUGAUAUAUUUCUCUAUUAUUCUUGUUCUCAUACCACUCACUGCCCUAAUCAAGAAUAAACU